rnacentral:lncRNA from 1 species
AAACUAGAAAAAUAUAAAGAAGCAGAAGACAAUAAUGAAGUAGAAGAUGAUUUCGGCGACUGAAGAAGACGACGACGAAUACAAUCAUGACGGUGGAAGCAAACGAUUACGGCGAAGAUUCUGUUNNUUUUUUUAAUUCAAAAAGAUUUGAAAAUAAAUCUUUAUUUUUGGAGUAAAAUAAGAAAAUUCGUUUUUUAUUUUAUUUUAGGAAAAAAAUACUCAAUAAUUUUGUAUGAAAAAAAAAAGUUAUUUCUAG